GGUCCAAUAGUGUAGUCACGUCAGAUUGCAAAUCUGAAAACGCAAAUAAUAAAUGCUUGGGCCU
rnacentral:tRNA from 1 species